rnacentral:rRNA from 1 species
GACGAACGCUGGCGGCGUGCUUAACACAUGCAAGUCGAACGGAAAGGCCCUGCUUUUGUGGGGUGCUCGAGUGGCGAACGGGUGAGUAACACGUGAGUAACCUGCCCUUGACUUUGGGAUAACUUCAGGAAACUGGGGCUAAUACCGGAUAGGAGCUCCUGCUGCAUGGUGGGGGUUGGAAAGUUUCGGCGGUUGGGGAUGGACUCGCGGCUUAUCAGCUUGUUGGUGGGGUAGUGGCUUACCAAGGCUUUGGCGGGUAGCCGGCCUGAGAGGGUGACCGGCCACAUUGGGACCGAGAUACGGCCCAGACUCCUACGGGAGGCAGCAGUGGGGAAUAUUGCACAAUGGGCGGAAGCCUGAUGCAGCAACGCCGCGUGCGGGAUGACGGCCUUCGGGUUGUAAACCGCUUUCGCCUGUGACGAAGCGUGAGUGACGGUAAUGGGUAAAGAAGCACCGGCUAACUACGUG